rnacentral:lncRNA from 1 species
AACCAGUUUUUCCUUUAUGACUGAAGUGAUAGUCAUAAUUUUUUAAAGAAUUAUACAAUCACUCAUGUCUUUCAGGAGUGGAAUGAAGAAGAGCUUGAGAAGGAGCUUUUCUGAAGGAGAAGAAGGAAGUAAUUAUUUAAGAAUACUGCAAGGUCCAUUCCCAGAAUAAAAGCAUACAUUGACAGUCUAAGCUGGGAAACUAAAUUUCCAUGAUUUGCAUUCUUGCCUUUUUCACAAAGUUUAAAAACAUCAAAUGAUCAUAGAAGGUCUGACAAAAGAAGAGAGUCAGAAGGGUGA